rnacentral:rRNA from 1 species
AUUGAACGCUGGCGGCAGGCCUAACACAUGCAAGUCGAGCGAGCUGCGGACGGGUGAGUAAUGUCUGGGAAACUUCCCGAUUGAGGGGGAUAACUACUUGAAACGGUUGCUAAUACCCCCUACCAUCACAUGUUCCCAGAUGGGUUUAGCUAGUAGGUGGGGUAACGGCUCACCUCGGCGACGAUCACUAGCUGGUCUGCGAGGCUGACCAGCCACACUGGAACGGAGACACGGUCCAGACUCCUACGGGAGGCAGCAGUGGGGAAUAUUGGACAAUGGGCGAAAGCCUGAUCCAGCCAUGCCGCGUGUGUGAAGAAGGUCUUCGGAGUGUAAAGCACGUUAAGUGGGGAGGCGUUAACAACAGAAGAAGCACCGGCUAACUCCGUGCCAGCAGCCGCGGUAAUAC